rnacentral:rRNA from 1 species
UACGUAGGGUGCGAGCGUUGUCCGGAAUUAUUGGGCGUAAAGGGCUCGUAGGCGGUUUGUCGCGUCGGGAGUGAAAACCAGGUGCUUAACACCUGGCUUGCUUUCGAUACGGGCAGACUAGAGGUAUUCAGGGGAGAACGGAAUUCCUGGUGUAGCGGUGGAAUGCGCAGAUAUCAGGAGGAACACCAAUGGCGAAGGCAGCUCUCUGGUACAUGAUUGACGCUGAGACGCGAAAGCGUGGGUAGCAAACAGG